AACGAACGCUGGCGGCAUGCCUAACACAUGCAAGUCGAACGAGACCUUCGGGUCUAGUGGCGCACGGGUGCGUAACGCGUGGGAACCUGCCCUUAGGUUCGGAAUAACUCCCCGAAAGGGGUGCUAAUACCGGAUAAUGUCUUCGGACCAAAGAUUUAUCGCCUUUGGAUGGGCCCGCGUUGGAUUAGCUAGUUGGUAGGGUAAAGCCUACCAAGGCGACGAUCCAUAGCUGGUCUGAGAGGAUGAUCAGCCACACUGGGACUGAGACACGGCCCAGACUCCUACGGGAAGCAGCAGUGGGGAAUAUUGGACAAUGGGCGAAAGCCUGAUCCAGCAAUGCCGCGUGAGUGAUGAAGGCCUUAGGGUUGUAAAGCUCUUUUACCCGGGAUGAUAAUGACAGUACCGGGAGAAUAAGCUCCGGCUAACUCCGUG
rnacentral:rRNA from 1 species